AUAUUACUUCAGGGUCGGGUGUAAUUCCCAACCGGCGGUGAGACAUGUUGAACAUGGUAAGCCCGCGACCUGUGCAAACAGCUGAUCUGGUCAAAUUCCAGAGCCGACCGUAAAGUCGGGUAUAAAGAAGUUAAAA
rfam:Leuconostoc citreum KM20, complete genome.